rnacentral:rRNA from 1 species
CAGGCGCAGAGAUGUGCUCUCCUUCGGGCAAUGGAUACAGGUGGUGCAUGGUUGUCGUCAGCUCGUGCCGUGAGGUGUUGGGUUAAGUCCCGCAACGAGACGCAACCCUCAUUGUUAGUUACUACCAUUCAGUUGAGGACUCUAAUGAGACUGCCAACGAUAAAGUUGGAGGAAGGUGGGGAUGACGUCAAAUCAUCAUGCCCUUUAUGACCUGGGCUACAAACGUACUACAAUGGCCAAUACAAAGAGAUGCGAAGCGGUGACGUGGAGCGAACCUCAGAAAGUUGGUCUCAGUUCAGAUUGAAGUCUGCAACUCGACUUCAUGAAGGCGGAAUCGCUAGUAAUCGCGGGUCAGCAGACCGCGGUGAAUACGUUCCCGGGUUU